rnacentral:lncRNA from 9 species
AAUCGUUUUCAGCACUCUCCGCAUCCCCAGCCCCGCAACCUAAGUAUUGUCAUCUCAGGCAGGAUAGCUUUGUAACAUUCUGAACUUGCAGCUCUUGCGUGUUUUCUUCCUUCUUUUGCUCUCUGGGAAAGGAGGGGACGCGCUGUCCAGCCCCCGCGUCCUUGGCGAUGUGAGCCAGACCCCCGAUGCUGUGCACCUACUCUCUCCUCCCUUCUCUUCUCUUUUGUUUGCGGUUCCUCCCAAUCAUCUUUCAUAAAAUGUCUUAACAUCGUAGGAGGUUUCUAGUGGAUCCAUAUACUUGUGCUUUCAAAACAACAUUUCAUCUCCCUGACUCACAGGCGGAGUGGAAAAAAAAACACACCAAAACAAACCCCUACACAUUUGAAAUAAUCCACAAGGAAAGCCUGCAUUGGAAAUCAUAUUGCCAUAUAAUUAUCCUGUUUACAAUCCCUCGUACAUCUUUUCUCAUAGAAAAAUGCAGAUUUGGAAACAAAGCAGGAAAAAGAUGCCAGAAAACCCUGGCAAGGCUCUGACCGCUGCCUGCCUAGGAAUGGCCGCAGAGGGAGAGAAAUGUGUUUGCAAUUAGGGCUGCCCAGAGCAGGUCCGAUUACAUCUGCAGGCGGCCAAGCUGAAGAGAUUUCCAGAGUGAACUUGUCCUGUGGGCCCAAGUGGAUCCGAGGCAAGGGACUGAUUAAAUAUUUGCAUGAUGUGGCCAUGGUCUUGAAUAAUGCCUGAGAGGUCAGUGAAGAGCAACACUACCCUCUCCCUCCCUUUCGGUGGCUGAUGAAAAGACAUUGCAUUAAGUUCAGUAACACUGUAAUACAAAGACGCAGCAGCUUUCCUCUAAUGACUCAUGGCUAUCUAUUUUAAAAUAUAAGUGCAUUAAAGAAGAAUAAUGCCAAUAUAAUAUGAGAAAGUAAUAUGAAGAUAAUAUGAGAAAAAGAAUAUGGGCAACUCAAAGAACACAUAUGGGGGAAAAAAUAAGAUGGCCCUACCUCAUCAAAAUUAGAAUCCAGUAUUAUGUGCCCAUGAUUCCUGAGGAGCUUUUUUUUCUGUGAGCCUCAUCAUUUCUUUAUGAGAUUAAUAAAAUUAUUGAAUAUUA